GAAAAAAACUUCCCUCCCAACUCACAAACACUCAGCUCACAAAGUCUCAGCUCACAAAUUCUCGCACUGCUCCCUCGUCUCAAACAAGAAAAGCUCUGCCGUCCCUCGCCAUCUCAGCCCUCCGGUCUCCCUCCGUCGCUCCUCCACCAAUGUCGCCUCUCCCAGCCGCUGCCGCCGUCGAGACCGGGCACCCUCUUCUCGACUCUGCUGCCGUCGAGACUCUUCCCGCCUCUGCUGCCGUUGAGACUCUUCCCGCCUCUGCCGCCAUCGACACUCUCCCCGUCGCCUCGCUAGUCGUUGUCUCUACCACCGUCACAGGUUAGUCCUCAAAUCUAAAACCCUAAUCCCUAAAUUCCUAAUUCCAUUUAUCCCUAUCUCAUAAUUUCAUUAAGCCCUAAAUCGAUAUGUUUUUCUUACUAUGUAAUUUUAUUGGUGAAAGUAAAUGGCUUAGAGCUCUACUUUGGCUUUCCUGUGACACUUUUAGUCUUACCAAUUAAAAAUGGAUAGAUGUGCAGUAUAAAUGCAUCGUAUUACCUGAAGCCGUUCAUGUUUAUUAUCACCUGUUGAGAUUAAAGACUAAUUUAACUAUUUGAUGUUAUUUGGCAAAGGAAAUUUAACAGCUUGCUAUUAGUUCGUAUGAUAUUUCUUCUUUGUUUAUUAAGAUUUUUGGUCUUAUUAUUGUUUUGUAGCUGCAAUCUAUUAUGCACAAGCCUCAUAAGUGAAGAUGUCUUUGUGGUAGAUAUAUUGCUCUCUACUAGCUUUUUUCAGGGUUAUAAAUGUCUGCAAAUGAAGUUUUGAAUUCAGAUACCCCUGAGUAUGAGAGAAUCCAGUGGUCACACUGUUGGUGUUGAUUGUUUGCCUGAGGAGAUGAAUGGCAUGAAAAUCAGGGAUGAUAAGGAUAUGGAAGCAGCAGUUGUUGAUGGUAAGUAUUGGUGGUCUAAAUGGUCAACCAAAACAGAUCCAUGAAAUGGCAGUGGUCUCUGCUGUACAAGCUCAGCAGGUUCAUAUCUAACUAUCUAAGCAUCUUAUUAUGCAGUUACUAUGUUUAGACUUUCCACCUUAUUUGUUCUUUCCCCCGUUUUACAGUGUAUCUAUGAAUCUAUUAUACUCUAAAGAUAAAUAACUUGUUAAGUAAUAAUGUAAUUGGAAAUUACAUUAAUCUCUGUAAGAGUUGAUGUAAGAGAUGCUUGAGAAACAACAAUGUUAUAUAAAUUGUAUGUAUGAUGCAUCAUGCAAAGAUAUAGUACGAGAACUAAGGCUGAAGAAUACCGUGAAUUCGUGAUAGUUUGCCAAUUUUCUGUUUUCAUGUGUUCUCAAGUCAAGUAACUUUAGCUUUGUGUUAUCUGAUUUUGGUGUAGG